CGCCGCGGUUAUACGAGAGACCCAAGUUGACAAAAGCCGGCGUAAAGCGUGGUUAAUACAACACAAACUAAAGCCGAACACCUUCAAAGCCGUCAUACGCACCCGAAGGCAGGAAGACCUCCAACGAAAGUGGCUUUAACUAGAAUGACACCACGAAAGCUAUGGUA
rnacentral:rRNA from 1 species